rnacentral:rRNA from 1 species
CCUACGGGAGGCAGCAGUGGGGAAUCUUGCGCAAUGGGCGAAAGCCUGACGCAGCCAUGCCGCGUGAAUGAUGAAGGUCUUAGGAUUGUAAAAUUCUUUCACCGGGGACGAUAAUGACGGUACCCGGAGAAGAAGCCCCGGCUAACUUCGUGCCAGCAGCCGCGGUAAUACGAAGGGGGCUAGCGUUGCUCGGAAUUACUGGGCGUAAAGGGAGCGUAGGCGGAUAGUUUAGUCAGAGGUGAAAGCCCAGGGCUCAACCUUGGAAUUGCCUUUGAUACUGGCUAUCUUGAGUACGGAAGAGGUAUGUGGAACUCCGAGUGUAGAGGUGAAAUUCGUAGAUAUUCGGAAGAACACCAGUGGCGAAGGCGACAUACUGGUCCGUUACUGACGCUGAGGCUCGAAAGCGUGGGGAGCAAACAGGAUUAGAUACCCUGGUAGUCCACGCUGUAAACGAUGAGUGCUAGUUGUCGGCAUGCAUGCAUGUCGGUGACGCAGCUAACGCAUUAAGCACUCCGCCUGGGGAGUACGGUCGCAAGAUUAAACUCAAAUGAAUUGACGG